GAUGAAGAACGUAGCGAAAUGCGAUAAGUAAUGUGAAUUGCAGAAUUCAGUGAAUCAUCGAAUCUUUGAACGCACCUUGCGCCCCUUGGUAUUCCGAGGAGCAUGCCUGUUUGAGUGUCAUGAAACCCUCAAACCCAAGUUUUGGAUUUCGAUCCAUGCUUGAGUUUGGAUUUGGAUGUUUGCCGGUGAUGAACCGACUCAUCUUAAAAGUAUUAGCUUGGAUCUGUCUAUAUGACUGGUUUGACUUGGCAUAAUAAGUAUUUUGCUGAGGACAUCUUCGGAUGGCCAGGACCUAGACUACUGUCUGCUAACUAAACCAUCACUUUAAGUGCAUCUUUGGAUGUUACUCAUUGUGUAACUUUGACAUCUGGCCUCAAAUCAAGUAGGACUACGCGCUGAACUUAAGCAUAUCAAUAAGCGGAGGA
rnacentral:misc_RNA from 1 species